GAGGGUAUAGCUCAAGUGGUAGAGCGCAUGCUUAGCAUGCACAAGGUCCUGGGCUCAAUCCCCAGUACCUUCU
rnacentral:tRNA from 1 species